GAAACCCUCUGCUUCUUAUUCCUUGGCAGCUGCACGACGCAGCUCUAGACACCACCACGAUCAACAACUCUAGCCACAUUCCUAUAGCAAAAUUGUCACGAAAUGAUCAAGAGAUUAGGCGGCAUCCACCUGGGCAUUCAAAAUCUCACAAACGCGAUGGAUCCGGUCUGAUGAAGACUUCUUCAACUCUUACCAGUCGUCCAGCUUGUCCGCUAGGCUGAGCUUCGAGAAUCUAAUACCACUGCAAGAAUUAAAGGCUUAUUAGGUAACCUCUUUAAUUCUGCAGUUUAUGACACUGUUAACCAGAUUUUUCCUAAUUUUUAUGUUCGUUGCUAAGGAUUCCUCUUUGCGCCAUCGUUGUGUCGAUCUUAUUGUAGACCUGAAAUCUUUUUUGUUGGGCAAGAAAUUCUCUUUGUUUUUCUUUGUAAAAGAUUUUUUUU